UGGGGAAUAUUGCACAAUGGGCGAAAGCCUGAUGCAGCAACGCCGCGUGAGUGAUGAAGGCCUUCGGGUUGUAAAGCUCUGUCUUUUGGGACGAUAAUGACGGUACCAAAGGAGGAAGCCACGGCUAACUACGUGCCAGCAGCCGCGGUAAUACGUAGGUGGCAAGCGUUGUCCGGAUUUACUGGGCGUAAAGGAUGCGUAGGCGGAUUUUUAAGUGAGAUGUGAAAACCCUAAGCUUAACUUGGGGACUGCAUUUCAUACUGGAAAUCUAGAGUGCGGGAGAGGAGAAUGGAAUUCCUAGUGUAGCGGUGAAAUGCGUAGAGAUUAGGAAGAACACCAGUGGCGAAGGCGAUUCUCUGGACCGUAACUGACGCUGAGGCAUGAAAGCGUGGGUAGCAAAACAGGAUUAGAUACCCUGGUAGUCCACGCCGUAAACGAUGAGUACUAGGUGUAGGAGGUAUCGACCCCUUCUGUGCCGCAGUUAACACAAUAAGUACCCCGCCUGGGAAGUACGAUCGCAAGAUUAAAAACUC
rnacentral:rRNA from 1 species